GCCCGGCUAGCUCAGUUGGUAGAGCAUUCGACUCUUACACGAGGGUUUCACAUUCAUCCUGGGAUGAUGUCAUCGAAUUGUCGUGGGUUCGAGCCCCACGUUGGGCG
rfam:Puccinia graminis f. sp. tritici CRL 75-36-700-3 supercont2.58 genomic scaffold, whole genome shotgun sequence.